rnacentral:rRNA from 1 species
GCAAGCUUAACACAUGCAAGUCGAACGGAUUAUCUUUUAUAGCUUGCUAUGGAGGAUAAUUAGUGGCAGACGGGUGAGUAAUGCAUAGGAAUCUACCUAGUAGAAUGGGAUAGCCACUAGAAAUGGUGGGUAAUACUGUAUAAUCCCUGCGGGGGAAAGAUUUAUCGCUAUUAGAUGAGCCUAUGUUAGAUUAGCUAGUUGGUAGGGUAAAGGCCUACCAAGGCGAUGAUCUAUAGCUGGUCUGAGAGGAUGAUCAGCCACACUGGAACUGAGAUACGGUCCAGACUCCUACGGGAGGCAGCAGUGGGGAAUAUUGGACAAUGGGCGCAAGCCUGAUCCAGCUAUGCCGCGUGAGUGAGGAAGGCCUUAGGGUUGUAAAACUCUUUCAGUAGGGAAGAUAAUGACGGUACCUACAGAAGAAGUGCCGGCAAACUCCGUGCCAGCAGCCGCGGUAAUACGGAGGGGGCAAGCGUUGUUCGGAAUUAUUGGGCGUAAAGGGCAUGUAGGCGGUUCGGUAAGUUAAAGGUGAAAUGCCAGGGCUUAAC